rnacentral:rRNA from 1 species
UACGAAGGGGGCUAGCGUUGCUCGGAAUCACUGGGCGUAAAGGGUGCGUAGGCGGGUCUUAAGUCAGGGGUGAAAUCCUGGAGCUCAACUCCAGAACUGCCUUUGAUACUGGAGAGCUUGAGUCCGGGAGAGGUGAGUGGAACUCCGAGUGUAGAGGUGAAAUUCGUAGAUAUUCGGAAGAACACCAGUGGCGAAGGCGGCUCACUGGUCCGGUACUGACGCUGAGGAGCGAAAGCGUGGGGAGCAAACAGGG